rnacentral:rRNA from 1 species
UACGAAGGGGACUAGCGUUGUUCGGAAUUACUGGGCGUAAAGCGCACGUAGGCGGAUUUGUUAGUCAGGGGUGAAAUCCCGGGGCUCAACCUCGGAACUGCCUUUGAUACUGCAAAUCUCGAGUCCGAUAGGGGUGGGUGGAAUUCCUAGUGUAGAGGUGAAAUUCGUAGAUAUCAGGAGGAACACCGGUGGCGAAGGCGGCCACCUGGACGGAUACUGACGCUGAGGCGCGAAAGCGUGGGGAGCAAACAGG